rnacentral:rRNA from 1 species
CCGUUUGCUACGCGGAGGACAUU